rnacentral:rRNA from 1 species
AGAGUUUGAUCAUGGCUCAGGAUGAACGCUGGCGGCGUGCCUAAUACAUGCAAGUCGAACGAGGUGCUUUUGUAGCAAUACGAGAGUAUCCUAGUGGCGAACGGGUGAGUAACGCGUUGGUGACCUACCCCAAAGUGUGGGAUAACAGUCCGAAAGGAUUGCUAAUACCGCAUGUGGUCAUUGGAUUUAGAAACCGAUGUCUAAAGGAGCAAUUCGCUUUGGGAGGGACCUGCGUCCCAUCAGCUAGUUGGUGAGGUAACGGCUCACCAAGGCGACGACGGGUAGGGGACCUGAGAGGGUGACCCCCCCAAAUGGAACUGAAACACGGUCCAUACACCUACGGGUGGCAGCAGUAGGGAAUAUUGCUCAAUGGGCGAAAGCCUGAAGCAGCAACGCCGCGUGUGUGAUGAAGGCCUUCGGGUCGUAAAGCACUUUUCUGGGAGAUGAGAAAGGACAGUAUCCCAGGAAUAAGUCUCGGCUAACUACGUGCCAGCCGCCGCGGUAAUAC